rnacentral:rRNA from 1 species
AUUGAACGCUGGCGGCAUGCUUUACACAUGCAAGUCGGACGGCAGCACAGAGAAGCUUGCUUCUUGGGUGGCGAGUGGCGAACGGGUGAGUAAUAUAUCGGAACGUACCGAGUAAUGGGGGAUAACUAAUCGAAAGAUUAGCUAAUACCGCAUAUUCUCUGAGGAGGAAAGCAGGGAACCUUCGGGCCUUGCGUUAUUCGAGCGGCCGAUAUCUGAUUAGCUAGUUGGUGGGGUAAAGGCCUACCAAGGCGACGAUCAGUAGCGGGUCUGAGAGGAUGAUCCGCCACACUGGGACUGAGACACGGCCCAGACUCCUACGGGAGGCAGCAGUGGGGAAUUUUGGACAAAGGGCGCAAGCCUGAUCCAGCCAUGCCGCGUGUCUGAAGAAGGCCUUCGGGUUGUAAAGGACUUUUGUCAGGGAAGAAAAGGCUGUUGCUAAUACCGACAGCUGAUGACGGUACCUGAAGAAUAAGCACCGGCUAACUACGUG